GACCCCAGGUCAGGCGGGGCCACCCGCUGAGUUUAAGCAUAUCAAAAGGCCGGGAG
rnacentral:rRNA from 1 species